AAAAACUAGAGAGUUCAUCAUUAGUCAAGCUGUUAACCUUCCAUAGUCUGAGCUCCUGUAUGAAAGAGAAGCAUGAGUUCGUGUGAUCAAAAGUGUUCAACUAUGACAAGCUCAACUUCUCAAGCCUGUUACAGCCUAUAACUUGCAUAGCAGAUGCUGCGGGCCACUAUAACUAGUACUUCCAGCUUCGGAGAAGCUCGCACUAAUGUUUGAGUAAAUUCAGCAGAUGAAUC
rnacentral:lncRNA from 1 species